rnacentral:rRNA from 1 species
AAUGAACGCUGGCGGCAGGCCUAACACAUGCAAGUCGAACGGAUCCUUCGGGAUUAGUGGCGGACGGGUGAGUAACGCGUGGGAACAUACCCUUUGGUACGGAAUAGCCUCGGGAAACUGGGAGUAAUACCGUAUGUGGUCGAGAGACGAAAGAUUUAUCGCCAAAGGAUUGGCCCGCGUUGGAUUAGGUAGUUGGUGGGGUAAUGGCCUACCAAGCCGACGAUCCAUAGCUGGUUUGAGAGGAUGAUCAGCCACACUGGGACUGAGACACGGCCCAGACUCCUACGAGAGGCGGCAGUGGGGAAUCUUAGACGAUGGGGGAAACCCUGAUCUAGCCAUGCCGCGUGAUCGAUGAAGGCCUUAGGGUUGUAAAGAUCUUUCAGGUGGGAAGAUAAUGACUGUACCACCAGAAGAAGCCCCGGCUAACUCCGUGCCAGCCGCCGCAGUAA